rnacentral:rRNA from 1 species
GAUGAACGCUGGCGGCGUGCCUAAUACAUGCAAGUCGAGCGAACGGACGAGAAGCUUGCUUCUCUGAUGUUAGCGGCGGACGGGUGAGUAACACGUGGAUAACCUACCUAUAAGACUGGGAUAACUUCGGGAAACCGGAGCUAAUACCGGAUAAUAUUUUGAACCGCAUGGUUCAAAAGUGAAAGACGGUCUUGCUGUCACUUAUAGAUGGAUCCGCGCUGCAUUAGCUAGUUGGUAAGGUAACGGCUUACCAAGGCAACGAUGCAUAGCCGACCUGAGAGGGUGAUCGGCCACACUGGAACUGAGACACGGUCCCGACUCCUACAGGAGGCAGCAGUAGGGACUCUUACGCAAUGGGCGAGAGCCUGACGGAGCAACGCCGGGUGAGUGAUGAAGGUCUUCGGAUCGUAAAACUCUGUUAUUAGGGAAGAACAUAUGUGUAAGUAACUGUGCACAUCUUGACGGUACCUAAUCAGAAAGCCACGGCUAACUACGUG